AGAGUUUGAUCCUGGCUCAGGAUGAACGCUGGCGGCGUGCCUAAUACAUGCAAGUCGAACGCUUCACUUCGGUGAAGAGUGGCGAACGGGUGAGUAAUACAUAAGUAACCUGGCAUCUACAGGGGGAUAACUGAUGGAAACGUCAGCUAAGACCGCAUAGGUGUAGAGAUCGCAUGAACUCUAUAUGAAAAGUGCUACGGGACUGGUAGAUGAUGGACUUAUGGCGCAUUAGCUUGUUGGUAGGGUAACGGCCUACCAAGGCGACGAUGCGUAGCCGACCUGAGAGGGUGACCGGCCACACUGGGACUGAGACACGGCCCAGACUCCUACGGGAGGCAGCAGUAGGGAAUUUUCGGCAAUGGGGGAAACCCUGACCGAGCAACGCCGCGUGAAGGAAGAAGUAAUUCGUUAUGUAAACUUCUGUCAUAGAGGAAGAACGGUGGAUAUAGGGAAUGAUAUCCAAGUGACGGUACUCUAUAAGAAAGCCACGGCUAACUACGUGCCAGCAGCCGCGGUAAUACGUAGGUGGCGAGCGUUAUCCGGAAUUAUUGGGCGUAAAGAGGGAGCAGGCGGCACUAAGGGUCUGUGGUGAAAGAUCGAAGCUUAACUUCGGUAAGCCAUGGAAACCGUAGAGCUAGAGUGUGUGAGAGGAUCGUGGAAUUCCAUGUGUAGCGGUGAAAUGCGUAGAUAUAUGGAGGAACACCAGUGGCGAAGGCGACGAUCUGGCGCAUAACUGACGCUCAGUCCCGAAAGCGUGGGGAGCAAAUAGGAUUAGAUACCCUAGUAGUCCACGCCGUAAACGAUGAGUACUAAGUGUUGGGUGUCAAAGCUCAGUGCUGCAGUUAACGCAAUAAGUACUCCGCCUGAGUAGUACGUUCGCAAGAAUGAAACUCAAAGGAAUUAACGGGGGCCCGCACAAGCGGUGGAGCACGUGGUUUAAUUCGAAGCAACGCGAAGAACCUUACCAGGUCUUGACAUCGAUCUAAAGGCUCCAGAGAUGGAGAGAUAGCUAUAGAGAAGACAGGUGGUGCAUGGUUGUCGUCAGCUCGUGUCGUGAGAUGUUGGGUUAAGUCCCGCAACGAGCGCAACCCCUGUUGCCAGUUGCCAGCAUUAAGUUGGGGACUCUGGCGAGACUGCCGGUGACAAGCCGGAGGAAGGCGGGGAUGACGUCAAAUCAUCAUGCCCCUUAUGACCUGGGCUACACACGUGCUACAAUGGACAGAGCAGAGGGAAGCGAAGCCGCGAGGUGAGCGAAACCCAUAAAACUGUUCUCAGUUCGGACUGCAGUCUGCAACUCGACUGCACGAAGAUGGAAUCGCUAGUAAUCGCGAAUCAGCAUGUCGCGGUGAAUACGUUCUCGGGCCUUGUACACACCGCCCGUCACACCAUGAGAGUCGGUAACACCCGAAGCCGGUGGCCUAACCGCAAGGAAGGAGCUGUCUAAGGUGGGACUGAUGAUUGGGGUGAAGUCGAAACAAGGUA
rnacentral:rRNA from 1 species